UUUCUCUAAAAGCAUGGUCAUCAGGACAUAAAAAGGUAAAAGCAUGUACUUUCAGCUGAAAUGCUUCCAAAAGAUCCAAAGAUCAAAAUCUGCCUCCAUCACUACAUUUUUAACAUAAAUAUUAUCAGACCCAAAGUCAAAAGGCAGAUAGCGGCAGUCCACAAUACAAAACCAUCGAAAGCAAUUGAUAGUCUGUGUCCUAGUUUAUAACUAAGCAUCUAUUAGUACUGUAGACUAUGGCAACAUCACGCAGCAACGCCUGUUUAUUCUCCAUCCCCUGCUAUUGGAUUUUGCAUCCAUCAUAGCUUUUUUCCUGUUUAUGUGAAGUUUCAGACAACUGUCCUACCAAAAUUGCUUUCGUAUCAAUGGAUAUACUAAGAUUCUGUAGGUGGAAUUGCAUUCGAUAUACUAAGAUUCUGUAGGUGGAAUUGCAUUCGAUAUACU
rnacentral:misc_RNA from 1 species